rnacentral:rRNA from 1 species
UACGUAGGGGGCAAGCGUUGUCCGGAUUUAUUGGGCGUAAAGCGCUCGCAGGUGGUUCGUCGCGUCGUGCGUGAAAGACCCCGGCUCAACUGGGGAGGGUCGUGCGAUACGGGCGAACUGGAGGCCAGUAGGGGGAUGCGGAAUUCCGGGUGUAGUGGUGGAAUGCGUAGAGGUCCGGAGGAACACCAGCGGCGAAGGCGGCAUCCUGGACUGGUCCUGACACUCAUGAGCGAAAGCGUGGGGAGCGAUCCGG